UGACGGUGCUAGCAUAACCAUUGGCUAUAGAUUCCUACUACUGGGAGACAAUAUUCACUGAAUUUUAAAUAACAAAAGUUAAGAUGUUUUUACAUCUUACUGUGAAAAUGUAACAUUAAAAGGAAACAAAGAAAUCUCUGCAUGACCAGACCAAUUUGUCUAGGGAGAAAUCAUGCUAAGCAAGUCACAAAAAAGAAUACGCGCAAAUAACGUCCAAUAGAAAACGAUGAUGCAUGUCCUAUUUUGCCGAGAACAUCCGGGCUAGCUAGAUGUAUGUUCGGAACGCCAUUUCCAUGUUCUUCGGCGUUGUUGUUGUCUUGAUUAUUUUGGAGCUUAUCGUUUAGCUCCAUUUUUCGGAAUGCAUUUUGGGACACAGAAGAUUUGCAGCUUACAUUGCUGCUGUUUGGAGUACUUAGUAUUUUUGAGCAUUUUUGAUGAUUGGAAAAACAAAAACUGAGUCUCAAGUGCAAAAUGACUCGAAACUCUUGUUUUGGUGUUGUUUAUGUGACCAUCAUUCUUCAUCAAAGCUUGGCAGUGUUUCCUAAAGAAGAUUUGUCAUCAGCUGCCAGAACAGCAGAAAAUGACUUCAUAGGCACACAGCGAUGCGAGCGCUAUGACAAGAGCUGUAACCCUGAAACAACAAACUGCGAAGUGGAAGAGUGUGAUCCUCCUUCCAGUACAUAUCUAAAUUUGUGUUAUGCAUCAUGGUCAAACACCUCAGAUGGUGUGCAAAUUCUUCGCAAAGGGUGUUGGAUGGGGGCUCCAGAAUGCCAUGGAAAGCGUCAGUGUAUUCAACGAGACACUGACCCUGUGCGAUUUGUUUACUUCUGCUGUUGUGAGGGGGAUUUCUGCAAUAGGAAUAUUACUUUCCGUAGUGAUGUCGGUAGCUCUGUUGACAAAAGUAGUACCUCAUUGCCUCCUGUUGUCAGAAAGGGAGAUGGCUCUCAGCUAGUCAAGGCUGUGUUAUACUCAAUUGUUCCCAUUAUUGGAGGUGCUGUGAUCAUAGUUGCAGUCUUUUUCAUGUGGAAACGUCAUCAGCGUCAUUUAUACUUGGGACAUCAGCAGCUGCCAACUAUAGAGCCAGGUUUUGUCUCAACACCAUCAGAAACAUCACUUAAUUUGGAGAAAGUGGAGCUUAUUGAGCUACGAGCACGAGGCAGGUUUGGAUCCGUGUGGAAAGCCCAGCUGCUGAAUGAAUUAGUGGCUGUCAAGAUAUUUCCACUGCAGGACAAACAGUCAUGGUUGACUGAACAGGAAAUAUACAACUUGCCACAAAUGAACCACGAGAAUGUCCUCAAAUUUAUUGCAAGCGAGAAACGAGGGGAAAAUCUGCACAUUGAACUGUGGCUGCUGACAGAAUUUCAUGAACAUGGAUCAUUAUAUGACUAUCUCAAGGGCCAUGUUCUUACAUGGUCACAGCUGUGCAAGAUUGGAGAGAGCAUGGCACUUGGACUUGCAUUUUUGCAUGAUGAGAUUCCAGCAACUGCAGUGCAUGGUUCUAAACCAGCAGUGGCUCAUCGUGAUUUCAAGUCCAAAAAUGUACUGCUGAAAUCAGAUCUAACAGCUUGCAUUGCAGAUUUUGGUCUUGCUCUGAAAUUUGAACCUGGCAAAGGGCCAGGAGAAACUCAUGGCCUUGUUGGCACACGACGCUAUAUGGCUCCUGAAGUCUUGGAAGGGGCCAUCUGUUUCAACCGUGAUGCUUUUCUGCGUAUUGAUAUGUAUGCCUGUGGUCUAGUCCUGUGGGAACUGCUUAGUCGAUGCAAUGCUGCAGAAGGACCUGUGGAGGAAUAUCAGCUUCCUUUCGAGAAUAUUCCAGAGAUAGGCCAGCACCCAACACUUGAAUCCAUGCAGGAAUAUGUAGUGAGCCGAAAAAUGCGUCCACCCAUGCAUGAGCAUUGGAAACGACAUCCUGGCAUUAUGAGCCUGGUGUGUACUGUUGAAGAAUGUUGGGAUCAAGAUGCUGAAGCACGGUUGUCGGCAGGCUGUGUUCAGGAACGAAUUGCUGCUUUUGCUCGCACAUUCAACAUGGUUACUGCAGCAAGUGGAGUGAUGCUUCCUACCUCCCAAUACCCGCCAACUUUGCCUCCAGCUUUGCAGUCGUCAGGACUAACUAUGGGGCAGACUCCACCAAGCUCUAGUGACUCUGUGAUUUCAUUCUCGUCAUCUUCAGACAUACCUCCAAAGGAUUUGGGCAGUUGUUGACUGCCUAGAAAGGAGAGGUGACAAGCUUGUUGAAGAGCACCAUCACUACAGAAAUUCAAUGCCAAAAGUAUCAGGCAGCUUACGGACAGUGCCUUUUUGUUGCUGUAGUUUUGGUUUCAACUUCAGAGGGAUCUUGGCCAUUUGCCAGUGAGGGCAGAGUUAGGAGGGUCACUACUUGCUGUUAGCAUAUCAAGUGAGUCAUUGGCAUGGCAGUGGUAGUUUUAUAGUAAUACAGAGUUCCCAGAUUUUAUUAAGUAUAAGUGGAUCCUCUGCCUUUAGCAUAUCAGAUUAUUUUAGGUUGUGUGGGAGUUGUUUUUUUUUGGCAUAUUCUUUGAAGUUUUGUGUAAAGGGCAAUGGGUGACUAGUUAAAGCCUCUUGUAUGCCAAAACAUGCAAAAGUUCAUUUCUUUUUAACACAGAUGUUAAUCUGUUUACAUAGACACAAUAGCAUGCAGCAAAAUGGCAUAAAAAGUACAGGAAGAAGCACCAUACAACCGGGCUGUAUUAUUAGAAUAAAUAAUAUUGAGUUUGUAACAGCAGUGAGUGAGAGUUUAUUAUUUCAAUGCACAAGCUGCAGCAUUAUGUUGCCUCCACUCAGGGCAGAGAUGUAACAUCUCUUAGUGCACGAAGCUGAAUGUAAUUAUUAAAUUGUUUUAGGUAUAUAUAAAAUAUUAUGACAGCUAGAUAGGACAAAAGAUUCAUUUUGAUUGACUGUACAAUUCUGAUGGUAGUGUGACAGCUGUCAUAUUGAAAGAGAAAUCUUAAUGCGACUUAAGAAUCAGAGUAUUGUCUGGUGUUUAUGGUGAUGAGAAAUGUGUAAUUCCACUCCCCACUUUUAUUUCUGGUUUCUAAAGACUUUGUGUGUGUGUGUGUGUGUAAAAAUGCAUCUGUUGCACACACUUGCAAUAACCACCCCAUUGGAUGAUACUUUGUUGUAUUGAGGCUUUAGAUGUACAUUGCUGUGUAAUUUAAACUUAGGAGUCACUCAUUUAUUGUAGGUUUUCUUGAGAUUUCUCCUUUCCUGCACCAUCCACCUGUUGGAACAACUAUUUUCCCUUCUUCCCUCUUUAAGACACAUACAUACCUCAUGACUGCAAGUGCUGAAGUUUGUUCAUGUAUGGUAGGAAUCUAUGUUUAUUAACAACAUCGCCUUCCAACUCCAUUUGAGCUGUUUACAUUAGAAUACCUUGUUGCAUAUGUCAUACAAUAUUGUACACACCAAAGGCCUCUACACAUGGUUAACAACUGUUUAUGUUAUAAAAUGUAGAUCCAUGAUUACAUUAAUGAAAACCUAGCCUGCAUAGAGUUUAAUAUUUUAUACAUUUGAAAGGUAAAGAGUCUCAAGUUUUACAGAUUUAGAAGUUAAUUCAAAUUCAGAUUCCUAGCCAAAAUACCUUGGUGAUAAAUUACUACCUUGUAUACAAGAUAUAGAAGGCAUUGGAUUACUUCUCAUCACUUUAAUAUCCUGAAAAGCAUAGACAUUUUUCAUCAUAGGCUCUAAAACCUCCUCAGUGCUAAUUUUUACCCCCACCUUUUGCAUUAUUAUCUUUGAAACUGUAUCUACUGAAAGAAAGGGUGAAGACACCACCAGCUUCGGUUGCACAAGAAAUUGAAGACUUGCUCUUUAAAACCUAGUAAUAGUAUUUACAUAAUGCCUAAUUGAAAAAGAAAUGAAGUAAUACUGGGUGUUUCAAGACUUAUUUGUGGAUUGACAUGGUUGUCCAGCUGUCCUGUGAAAAUCAAGAUUGAACAGCCUGUUUAUGCCAAGACUUUACAGGGUUAAGUCUUAAAAAAAUAAAUAUUCUUGACAUCUUGAGAGAUCAGGUAUUCAUCCUGGAGCCUGAAUCCAAAAAUCAUAAUGGUCGCACUUGACUAGUUAAAGCAACACUUGUUAAAAACCUUUCAAAUUUUGCCAUUCUCCUCUUGCCUAUCCCAGAUGAUAAUUGAAUGUGACAAGGCUGAUUUAUGUUGUUCAUGUAAUAGUAUAUGUCAAACCUGCAUUGGGUUAAUGCUGUGUUUGACCUCAUGCCCAUUGAGAAGUUUUCAGGUUCCACAGAUUGAAAGCUGUUAAGUGCUCGAACCUUUUUGAAUGUCCUGCCUGUAAUUGGAUUGACCUUUAAAUUUUUGCUGAUGACAGUGCUGAGGCUGCAUGUCCCAUAUCUGUAUGCAAUCAGCAUGGAAUCAUUUUUAAUUGCAUCACGAAAGAGAAUUGUGCAUGUUGCACAUUCACUGGUCCCAUUCCCCUGUUUAAAUGUUGUGUAGGGGAAGGGGCUUGAGGGGUAAACAGUACUGUUAAUGCGAUGUAAAGAUAUACGAGAACUACUUAUGAUUGGAAUGUCUGAGUGACUUCUGUAAUGGCUAAUCUUUUAGUCUUGUCUUUUUUCUUUCCUUUAUUUCUUUUUGAUUUUCUUUUUGGGGGAAAGGAUUAGCCAGGUUGGAUGAGUUAGGGUAUUUGGUUCUUUUUUUAUUUUUUUUUUUAUUUUGGUACAUAAAUCGUGAGUGCUUUGUGUAAAAUUAUAUCUAAAAGGCAGGGACAAUAGCAAUGUAAUUUGAACUCAGGUGUUUUAUUGUAUUUUGAGAAGCAAAGAAAUGUCAAGCUUAUAAUGCACUUUUAUUUAUUUUACUGUUUUCUAUAGGAAUGAGUUGUGGCAAAAGUCAGUCUGCUGUGUGAUUACUGUUUGCCUUCAAUUUAAAAAAAAAAAAAAUGAAACUGAUAAUCUUAGUGAAUAAAAUGGGAUUUUUGUUUAUGGAUCCACCCACCAGUCCUGUGGCUUUUGUAGUAUAAUGGUUGCUCAGUGUCUUUACACAGCUUAAAACAUUGUAAUUUGGUGGGUAACGACUACACCAGAAUUGGAUUAUUUCUGGCAGUCUAAGGCAGAAGAUGAGACAUCUCUCUUCUCUCCCAGUGUUUCACUUCUGUUAUGCAGAUUGUAAUUUCUUAACUCUUAAAGACAGCAUUUUGAUCAGCAAAAGCAGCUACAUGGUCAAGUUUCUCAUAAAGUUAUAACUUUACUGUUGAUUUGUUUGAAUUUAAACGUGUUUCUAUGCAGACAUUGUUACCUCGAAUCAUUGUGACACAUGUACAUCCCAAUGGGGUGGUUUUUUUUUGUUCUUAUCUUUUUACUUCUUUGGAUCUGCCUCCCUUUCUUUAUCUUUUGCAGUCAAUUGUUUCUCCCUCCUGCUACUGCCUAGCUGAAUCUUGUUGAAGUACGGGUCUCAAAAUUUCAUCAUUAACUAUUACACAUAAAAAACUAGUCUUUCUUCCUCUGUUUUGAAUUCUUCCCCCACUUCCUCUUUUUCUUAUUCUCUCACACACAUUUUCACGCAUUUGGUUAACUUACUGAUAAUUGGAGAACUUAUGUAUGUCUGCAUCUCUUAUAGCAAUUUGUUAGGGUUUUUUUAAAUUUUGGGUUGGAUAUACUGCUGAAAUCCCAUGUUAGAUAAAUUCCUUGGAUUCUUUGUCUGCUUAGCAUUCUUUUUACAGAAAAUUGUCAGAUGAAGGGGUGGAUAAAAUGUAAUGAUUGGGAAAAAACAAGUUUAGAUAUCAUUACUAGAUCAGAAGAUGCAAUAUUGAUCAGUUUUUGUGUUUUAGUUGUUUUGCUACAUAUGCCAUCUAAAAUUAUUGUUUCAAGUUGAUGUAAUUGUUCCUGAGUCAUAAAAUGUAGUGUCAUAUACAAAUCAUUAAUGGUAUGAUUUUCAGAUGUGGGAGGGGGGUGAGAGGGGGAGAAUAUACUGGUUGGGAGGAAAAUAAAGUAGGAGUGAACUUUUUGAAAGAGUUUUUACAUGCUGUUUGUUUUCUCCCUCCUUCCCCAAUUCCUCAGGAAAUUUUUAAACAAGAAAGUACACCAUGAGAAAGAUUGUAUUUGCCUGCUGCAAACAUUUUGUAACAAAAAGAGUAGUUCCAGAAAGUGAAUAUUGUCUAAAAUGUGCUUGUUCAGAUUUAUCUAGUGAUAGAAAGUGAAUUGUUAAGUAAAUUGUAAUGCUUGCAGACCUGGAACUCUUUAGAUUAAUGUUUUGUUUUCAGUGAAAAGAUGCCUCAAGCAAAUAACACUGCAGCAAAUAAUAACAGUGAAGUUGAAAAUAUGUUUGUAAUGUUUGACAGUGUAGUGGCAUUUCCAAUGACCAUGGAUUUUCUGUAGUGGCUGAUGUGGUAAGGAGCAACUUAAGUUUCUGGCCAUCUUGGCUUCAUUGCACCAGAGGUUAUGUCUUGAGUUUGUCCAUGGUUUCAUAUAGUGUUACUUAGCUACCACUGUCAUUGGUGGUUAGCAGGGAAGGUAAUGUUUGCUAGUUACUUCGCUUGUUUUGCAGUUGUGGUGCGUUCAGUUUUGAGAAGUUGUAGUGGUGCAAGUUGUUUUUACUUUUAAAGUACAUGCAGUACUGGGUAUGGUCUCUUGCACUUCACAAUUGUACAUCGCACAUUUGGUCACUAAUGAAGUAGUCACUCUCCCCAGUAGCAUUUUCUGGCGUAUGACAAAUUAUUGUGUACAAUCGCUACUCUUGGUUUGGUGAGGUCAUAUUUACGCAUUUUUGUGAACAUAUACAUCUUUUGUUUGACUGUAAAAUGUCACCAUUAUUUAAAAAUAGUUACUAGGAAGUUGAUGCUAAAACAAGUGUAAGGUUUUGUGCCUUUCACUUAGAGGAGUAUGAAGCAGUUAUUUUAGUUACUAUACAUGUAUACAUAUUUUGUCUUUUUGUUUUGCUUCAUAUCCAAUAUGUGUGGAGGACUCUGCAUACUGUACUUGGUUUGUGAAUAAGGACAGUUUCUGUGUUGUGUUCCUUACAAAAAAAUACACAGCUAUGUGACUGUGAGGUUACUGUGGAACAUUAGGAAGCAGGUGUCUUCCCAAGCUAUAUCAGCAGAUUUGUGUGGAUUUAAAAAAAAUUCUGUAAUUACUUUAAGGUGAUGUGCUUGAUUUUUGUAUAUUCCCUUUGAUAUGUGUUUUUUGAGCCAUCAGAUUUGCAUAGGAGAGAAAGAGAGAGAGCAUGGACGAACCAGCACCAUGGGAGAUUUCUAUUUUUGAUACAACAUUUGCUGCUGGUUUGUCAGCAUCUGUAGCUCUCUUUCUCUCCUUUUCAUUUGCUAAGUCUGCGGGUUUUGUUUUGGAUGUCUGUGCAAAAUCGUCACAUCUCCCCUUUUAAUAGGGGUUUUUGUGUAGCCCUAUAGUGCUACUUCAGGGAUGGCUACUGUUAAAUGUUUACUAAAGUUCACAUUUUCUCACCCACCCACCCCCAAACACACACACACACCCCAAUGUCUGGUUUAGUUCACUGCAAGACACUUAUUCCUAAGUCUGAGCAAAAGACUUGUGUUCUGUGCAUGAAACUGGCAUAUACGCAUCAAGAUGUGCAGUAAAAGAUGUUGGUAUUAUGUUGGUUUAGUGCCAGUAAUUAUUGAUAUGCUUCCAGCUUCGCUAUUGGCAUUGGCCUUGGUGAUGUUGGUGCAGUUAUAUACUUAAUCUUGCUUUAGUGGUACUUCCUGCACCCAUGAGAUCUUCCUUUCUGUCAGUUGAUGAUAUGUUUGUUGAUGACUGUGUUUUUUCUUUCCCUAUCUUCAAUAGAUUUCUUUUGCUAUUGAAUUGGCAGUGAAUGGUACUUCUGCCAAAUUCUGUACUUUUCUAGAUCUGUUUUUAAAUAUAGCAGAUGGAUUUUGUUUUUAAGUUUGGCCACAUUAUCAUUAAGAUUUAUUUUAGGUUUCAAGGUUUUGCUAUAUAUUUUCUGUCUUCCAGCAUUUACUUUUGCAGCUUACAACUGAAAGGAUGCUGCUUCUGUAUAUCCUAGUUUCGAAUUCAUUCUUGGAAGUUUUUAUUUUCAGGUAUCGCUAAGUUACCUCUUUACUGUCAACUUAGUUGUAUUUGUUAGCUUUUCUAUUUUGCCUUAUUAAAAUCAUGUCUUAAAGUCUGUCAGUAGUAACAAUACAUGCUUGCUCAAGAUUAGUUGUGGUGAUGUCAAAUGUUGCUAGCUGUUAGCUUGUUGCCACAUACAACUUUGCAGUGAACAUCUGUGUACACAUUGCUCAGGUGCUCUUGUUGCAUUUGUCUCUGUGUGUACAGUGUUGUGACCUCUGUGCAGGCAGGUUUGUGGAUUUUGAAGGCCUUUAUCUCUGAACAGAAUUGAGCUGGUUGCUCAAACUUGGGAUACUAUCAAUAGCUGUAAUGAGCUUAAACCAGACAUUUCAAACAACAAGUUUGCACUCUGCUAAGUCUUUAAAAAAAAAAAAAAAAAAUUCAAGAAAAUGUAAAAUCUAUCUGGGAUUGAGGGAAUGGCUGUUAAAUGCUCUGCCACUCCACAUCCCAGUCAGGCAUUUAGUUAUCUCUGUAUACACAUCAUCACACGUGUUGUCAAUAAUCAUUCUGUAAUGUGGCAUGUAUCAAUUAGUUGAUUUGAUCUUUUUUCCUCUGGUCUUCUGUGUUUAACCGACAUGUUCCAGGGAAGUGGAUGAGAGAAAAUAGGAGAACCAUCAAAGAAGACGAGAACAUUUCUUUGUCGGCAACUUCUGCAUAUUUAAACAUUGAAGAGGCCAGUCUGCAGAUGAGAAAUGGGCAUUUUCUUUUUCUCCUGUUUAGAAGUUUGGGUAUCAGAAGCCAGUAAAUUUCAUGUCUCAGAGUGAAAUGUCAAUAUGAGCUGCAGGGAAAGUAAUUUGAAAAUGUCUUCAUGUAUAAAAAAAAAAAUGUAAACACACGCAGUAUGUUGUGCCUCAAAACCAUUUAUUCAUUAUCAUUUAAACUUUUGGUCUCUGCUGUGUUGUUUUUGUUUUUGUUUUUUUUUUGUUUUGUAAUUAUUUUCUAAACCUCAGAUUUAAUUAUCAUUGCAAUUGUUUUUGAGGCCAAUGUUUUUACGGGUCAUUUAACUUGCAGACAUGCAUUGCAUCUUGCUGAGAAGCCUUUUAUGAGCCAUGGUGGCAACAUGAGGCAAUGCACAGCAUCAUUUGAGAGUUACAUCGUAGUAAUAUAUUACAAACCUCUUUCAUCAAGGCUGUAAAUAGAAUUGUGUAUGUAUAGUUACUGUUCAUAGAGUGGUCAGUUCAAUAAACUUUUUUUUUAAUCUUAGAUGAGGUUAUUGAUGAUGGACUGCAGGUGUGGAUGGGUGUGCAUGCAUUGAGUGAAGCAGAGUUCUGUCAGCAUGUCCAGGGACUGGCAUUACAGACUUAAAGAGCACAAAAUGAAUGUCAACAGCAUAACUUUGACAUUGCGAUCUUCAGAGACCUAUGAUGAACCACCACAUAUUAAACACAUUACAAACCUCAGAGAUUUGAAUGGACAACAUAUGUGGACUGUCCUUGCAUUGUUGUUGGUUCUACAUUGAUUUUGGCGACCUUUGCUGGAUUUUUUAGAUCUGUGCUUUGUGAUGACCAACAAUUAGCUAAAUUGUGGUGCCCUCUAGCCAGCAGUGGAACUUUUUAACUGUGCAGUUGUUUGCUCGCUUUAGGAGUUCACUGUCGUCAACUGCCCAGUAAUAAGCUGUGGCAAACGUUUUAUUUUCUAUUAUUUCUUUAUUUGGUUUGUUGGACCUGUGUCCUGUUGUGCUGUGGUAUCUCAUCACUUGGUCAUUAAAAUAUCAAGGAAGCUACA
rnacentral:misc_RNA from 1 species